rnacentral:rRNA from 1 species
UACAUGGGGUGCAAACGUUGCUCGGAAUUAUUGGGCGUAAAGCGCGCGUAGGCGGCUACUCAAGUCGGAUGUGAAAGCCCUCGGCUUAACUGAGGAAGUGCACCCGAAACUGAGUAGCUAGAGUACCAAAGAGGGUCGCGGAAUUCCCGGUGUAGAGGUGAAAUUCGUAGAUAUCGGGAGGAACACCGGUGGCGAAGGCGGCGACCUGGGUGGAUACUGACGCUGAGGCGCGAAAGCGUGGGGAGCAAACAGG